rnacentral:lncRNA from 1 species
UAUAUCACGCUAGUACGCCACCUCUUUUAAAACGCAUCCGAGAGUAUUUGAUUUUGAUCAACACUGGGCUUGCAGGUUUGUUGUUGUCUAUUUGGUUUUGAUCAUGGAUUUGUUGCAACUUAUUUUCGUUGUCUGUUUGGGGAUUUUAUAUGUGAUUUGGUUUUGUGUAUGAUUUUAUAUGGGAUUUGGUUCAGUUGUAACUCUAUCUCCGAUUUUGUAACUCUUAUCUUUCAGAAAUUAUGCAUUCUAGAAAAUUCUAACCAUUUGAUAUUUUCUUUCCUGUAUUUAUGUUUUUGAUUUUUAUUUUCUUCCUUGAAUUUUUAGGAUUUGUAAGGUUUCUGAGAAAUCAAAUUGAAAAUCAUGGGAAAUCAAAUUGAAAAUCAUAAAAACAAUUGAGAUGAGUCUCUCUCUCAUUGAGGUUGAGAUUUUUUUUUGUGUGGUCCCAUUAAUUUUAAGAAUAAGGUCUAGCUUUCAUGAAAUUAUAGGCAAAGUUGAUUCGCAUGACCCUACGAUUCCCAAAGUUAGUUUUCGACGGUCGGUAGGUAUGAAUUUGUGCUUUCUUUAUCUCUUUGUUGGUGUACGACAAGUGUUUGAUUAAAUUACUAUGGGAAUUUGUUUAAUUUGUGAUUCCAAAAUGAUUGUCUAACUUUUUUUGAAUAUCACCAAGUGUUUGAUUAAAUUACCAAGUGAAUCAGUUUUUGACGCCGGCCAGUGUAUGCUGUUUUUCUAUCUUCAGAUCCCUGUACGUGUACGCCAAGUGUUUGAUUAAAUUACCAAGUGAAUCUAUUUAGUUUGUGAUUUCAAAAUGAUUGUCUAACUUGGUUUGGUUAUGACUGCUGGUACUUAGCCAUAUAGAUAAAAUUCAUUAUGACUUACGUCUACCAGUCUAAGAAGAAUGGGUUGGAAGUGUUGUAUUAGGGGGACAAUGAUAAGAUGAGUGUUAAAACCAUCUUUUGCCAUGCCUAUUUGAAAGCAUGGUUUUUGACUAAGGACAAGGCAAAGUUGCUUUGAUGAAAUUUCAACCCUUCACACGGAGGAGAAGUGAAUUUGGACACACGUUUAUACGUGCUUGAAGUUUUAGGUUUGUUUGUUUGUUCUACGAUUGUUCUACGUUUGUUCUUGAAUUUUUGGGUACUGAGAAAUCAAAUUGAAAAUGGGGUAACGGGACCCCAAAUAAGCUUCUUUUUCAAUGCACCAUUUUGAGAAUAUAUGGAAGAAGAACCUUCAGUAAUUAAUGAUUCAAUUUACUUAUUCCUAUAUUUCAAGCCAAUACACAUGAAUAUAAGCGUGUAUGGAUGUGUGCAUACAUAAAAUCAUAACCCAUUUCUCUAAUGGAUAAAAAAUUCCCAGUUCUUUGGGGGCUUUUUAGACUUCGAGGUUUUUUUAGACAUCAUAAAAACACAAAUAGAAGUAUUGAAAAUUCAUGCAAACAUUUUAUGGAUUUGUGCAUACAUAAAAUCAUAACCCAUUUCUCUAAUGGAUAAAAAAUUCCCAGUUCUUUGGGGGCUUUUUAGACUUCGAGGUUUUUUUAGACAUCACAAAAACACAAAUAGAAGUAUUGAAAAUUCAUGCAAACAUUUCUCCACACUCAUAGUAAUCUUUUUAGCAGCAAUUUGUUUCCUCUGUUUUCUUGGCAGUAAAAUUUUAUCAAAAUUGGGAUCCCAAAAUUUCAUUCCCACCAAUAUGCAUGCCAAUAUUUGGGAGGCACAAAGAAAGCUAUUAGAGAUGCAAGUUGGCAUAGCCCAUGGAUAGAGUUCAUUAUGGAUCCAUGGGGCAACAACUAGCUUUUUCAGAUUUACCAAUAUGUUGACACUUCUGCCCUCACUAUCAUUGAAUGCCCCGUGCUUUCUCGCGGUCUCGGUUGUGCUUCCAAAAUUAAGUUCCCAUCCUUUUGGGGGUAUUUAUGUAAUUUGGAACUUGACAAAUACUAUUAUUUGACUAAAUUAGUAACUUCUAAAUUAGUAACUUAUAUAUUGUAUUUAAAAUCAAGUCCUUAUGUGUGUUAUUUUAUGACCUAUGUUUUAGUUGGUUUUUUUUAAUCGUUUGAUCAUAAUUUUAUAUUUUUUUAAUUAUUUGACGAAAAAAAUAUAAAAAUAUAAAAAUUGUGAUCAACUUUGAAAAUAAGUUUACUAUAUAGAAUAAAAAUGCUUAUUUCGAAUAUGAAAUGGAUUUUUUUGGUUAUUAAGUUUUUUUACAAAAAAAAGAUAAAAAGUUUGUUAUUUAAUUAAAAAUAUAUAAAAUUACAGUUAAAUGGUAAAUAUCUUCAAGGGUUGGUUUUUGCAUAGCUUGUGAGUAACAAAGUUAAAAUUUUAAGUCUUAAGGGAUGGUUGUGUAAUUUACUAAUCUAAAUGAGGUGCACAGUUUUUUUAUAAUAGGAGUGUGAAUAGAGCAAAGUAUGGAUAAUAAUUUCUUUACAUGUUGGCUAAACUUAUUUUGAUAAUAAAUUAACUUUAUCUUUUAACAAAAGACAGAGAGUUUUAACUUUUAAGGGGGGUAAAGU